GACAGAGGUUGCAAACGUUGUUCGGAUUCAUUGGGCGUAAAGGGUGCGUAGGCGGCGUGGUAAGUCGGAUGUGAAAUCUCGGAGCUUAACUCCGAAACUGCAUUCGAUACUGCCGUGCUUGAGGACUGGAGAGGAGACUGGAAUUUACGGUGUAGCGGUGAAAUGCGUAGAUAUCGUAAGGAAGACCAGUGGCGAAGGCGGGUCUCUGGACAGUUCCUGACGCUGAGGCACGAAGGCCAGGGGAGCAAACGGG
rnacentral:rRNA from 1 species